rnacentral:rRNA from 1 species
AUUGAACGCUGGCGGAAUGCUUUACACAUGCAAGUCGAACGGCAGCACGGACUUCGGUCUGGUGGCGAGUGGCGAACGGGUGAGUAACAUAUCGGAACGUAUCCAAUAAUGGGGGAUAACUAAUCGAAAGGUUGGCUAAUACCGCAUACGCCCUACGGGGGAAAGCAGGGGAUCUUCGGACCUUGCGUUAAUGGAGCGGCUGAUAUCUGAUUAGCUAGUUGGUGAGGUAAAGGCUCACCAAGGCGACGAUCAGUAGCUGGUCUGAGAGGACGACCAGACACACUUGAACUGAGAGACGGUCCAGACUCCUACGGGAGGCAGCAGUGGGGAAUUUUGGACAAUGGGCGCAAGCCUGAUCCAGCCAUUCCGCGUGAGUGAAGAAGGCCUUCGGGUUGUAAAGCUCUUUCGCAAGGGAAGAAAACUUACUUUCUAAUAAAGAGUGAGGUUGACGGUACCUUGAUAAGAAGCACCGGCUAACUACGUGCCAGCCGCCGCGGUAA